rnacentral:rRNA from 1 species
CCCAGACUCCUACGGGAGGCAGCAGUGGGGAAUAUUGCACAAUGGGGGGAACCCUGAUGCAGCGACGCCGCGUGGGCGAGGAAGUAUUUCGGUAUGUAAAGCCCUAUCGGCAGGGAAGAAGAAAUGACGGUACCUGAAUAAGAAGCCCCGGCCAACUACGUGCCAGCAGCCGCGGUACUACGUAGGGGGCAAGCGUUAUCCGGAUUUACUGGGUGUAAAGGGAGCGUAGACGGCAGUGCAAGGCCGGAGUGAAAGCCCGGGGCUCAACCCUGGGACUGCUCUUGGAACUGCGUGGCUGGAGUGCAGGAGGGGCAGGCGGAAUUCCUGGUGUAGCGGUGAAAUGCGUAGAUAUCAGGAGGAACACCGGUGGCGAAGGCGGCCUACUGGACUGCAACUGACGUUGAGGCCCGAAAGCGUGGGGAGCAAACAGGAUUAGAUACCCUGGUACA